CUCCCCGCGUUCAACAGCAAGAAAGCGGAGGUCUGGAGAGCUAAGUGACUUGCCCAGAGAUGAUCAGAGGGCGGUGACAGAGCAAACACAUCUGCGACUCCUUGCUUUUUCCUCUGCGAGGGUCCGCUCCUGCAGGGAUCGCCUCGCUCUCACUGGUUAAGACCCACAGACCUUCUAAUUCCCGACCUUCCAGACGUCUCUCGCGGCGCUCCGAGUCCUUGGCGGCCAGCGAGGCUCCUGGGGGCCCGCCUUCCAGGCCAGGGAUGCACCUGGGAAGUCAGUCCCAGCCGGUUUCUUCCUUCCGUCCUCACUUAACCCGUGUUGACUGAGCGCCUGCUGUAUGCCAGAUGUGUUGGUGCGGAGCCAGAUCGGACCAGGCAGAUGCUUUUGAUUGAGAGAGAGGAAACAUAUGAUACCUAACAGCAUGCGUUCUGAAACCAGACUACCAGAGUCUGGAGUGUAAACACCUGACUACUCUUCUGCACAUGGGCAUGCACUUGCUUUUCUCAGCCAAUGAAGGAUAGCCGGCUUCCCUGGCUAGUGACUGAUUUAGGGAUGAGCCAAAGGUAAAAUUUUGGCUAAUGAAAUAAACUUUUGGGGUGGUGGUGGUGUUCAAGGAAGGUUUCUUCCCAAAUGAUGUGCAUUGGAGGGGAUGUUUCUUUCUUCUAAUGAUGCUGUUUCUGCAUCUACAUCUGCCUGAAACAGCAGAGUCAUCUUGGCACCCUGAAGGGAGCUGGAAGAAAGGUGGAAACAAUCAUAACACUGUUGAGUUUAAAGAGCUAACCAACCCCCAGAUUCCUACCUCUGGACUUGUUCUCUGAAAGAAUAAAAUUUCCAUUUUGAAUAUGGUUUUCUGUUAUGACUUGAAUAUACUCUGAUAUUUCUUGAGUACCUAGUAUGUCUGAGAUAUGUUAUUGGAAACACAAAGUAUAAAACUAUAAAGCUGACCUCGACAAGUUUUCCAGCUACCUGAAGACAAGUUUUCCAGCUACCUGAAGACAAGUUUUUCCAGUUACUUGAGAGAAAUAAGCCAUGAAAAGAACACUAAUAAUACCAAGCAGCAAAUAUUCAGUGCUUGGCCUGAGAAAGCAACCCAGGAGGGCAUGGAUGAGGAGAGGGCUCCAAGAAUAAGGAAAACAUAAAUGGACAGAGAGGGAACAUUCUUGAUAGUAAACAAAAUAUUGGGUAGAGUUAGGGAUUGUGUUAGUUUGCCAGGGCUGCCAAACCAGAUGGCUUCAAGAACAGAAGAUUAUUUCUCUGGAGGGGAGAAGUCUAAGAUCGAAGGGUCAGCGGGGUUGACUUCAUUCAGGGGCCUUUCUCCUGUGUUUGCAGAUGACUGCCAUUUUGCUCUGUCCUUAUAGCGUCUUUCACUUGUCCACAUGCACCCCUGGUAUCCCUCAGUACAGCCAAAAAUUCUUCAUAAAGGACACCAGUCAGACUGUAUGAGGACCUACUUUAACUGCCUUAUUUUACACAUCUCUUUUAACGAUUGUAUCUCGAAAUACAGUCACGUUCUGUGCGACUGAAAGCUAGGACUUCAACAUAAGAAUUUUGAGAGGACACAAUUUCAGCCCAUAAAAGGGAUGAAUGAGGAGACUAAGAGUCA